UACGUAGGGGGCAAGCGUUGUCCGGAAUCAUUGGGCGUAAAGAGCGUGUAGGCGGCCCGAUAAGUCCGCCGUGAAAGUCCAGGGCUCAACCCUGGAAUGCCGGUGGAAACUGUCGGGCUGGAGUCCGGAAGAGGCGAGUGGAAUUCCUGGUGUAGCGGUGAAAUGCGCAGAUAUCAGGAGGAACACCAAUGGCGAAGGCAGCUCGCUGGGGACGGUACUGACGCUGGAGACGCGAAAGCGUGGGGAGCAAACAGG
rnacentral:rRNA from 1 species